rnacentral:rRNA from 1 species
AACGAACGCUGGCGGCAGGCUUAACACAUGCAAGUCGAGCGCCCCGCAAGGGGAGCGGCAGACGGGUGAGUAACGCGUGGGAAUCUACCCAUCUCUACGGAAUAACGCAUGGAAACGUGUGCUAAUACCGUAUACGUCCUUCGGGAGAAAGAUUUAUCGGAGAUGGAUGAGCCCGCGUUGGAUUAGCUAGUUGGUGGGGUAAAGGCCUACCAAGGGGACGAUCCAUAGCUGGUCUGAGAGGAUGAUCAGCCACACUGGGACUGAGACACGGCCCAGACUCCUACGGGAGGCAGCAGUGGGGAAUAUUGGACAAUGGGCGCAAGCCUGUUCCAGCCAUGCCGCGUGAGUGAUGAAGGCCCUAGGGUUGUAAAGCUCUUUCACCGGUGAAGAUAAUGACGGUAACCGGAGAAGAAGCCCCGGCUAACUUCGUGCCAGCCGCCGCAGUAAGAC